AACGGGUUGUGCCUCGGGUGUGGAGGUGGCUCCUUGCUCCAAGUUCGCAAUGUGUUUGGAGUGUUUGGCCAUAAGUUCAAAGCUCACAAAAUGCUUUCGUGGAGUGAUGUUAGGUGAUAUCUCAUCUUUUCACUCCAAAUAGAAUAAUCUACACCAUCAAAAUAUGGUGGUUUACCUAAAGGAACGGAAAUGAGAUUGGAACGUCUAGAAAUACGAGGGUAACGAAAAGGAAUUUUGUUACUCUUUUUGUGCUCUUGGCGCUUGGAGAUCGACUCGGCGUCGGAUGUCGAUGGCGUGGAGGAGUCGGUCUCGUAGGCUUCAUCUUCUUUUUCUUCUUGCCAUCUUUCUUGUGUGACUUGAUGGAGCCGGCGGAUUCUUCUUUCUUUUCCUUGUGCUUGUCGCCGGAUAGCUUAAUCUCCCUUGAUGAAAUCUUGGCUUCAUGCUUCUUUCCCGAAGACUCGGGCUUUGCCCCGGUGGGUACCUCGUUCUUGGCGUGUUCACUCGACAUCACUUCGAGUUGUUAAACUCUAAUGAAGUGCCGGGCUCCUAUACCAAUUGAAAGUCGCCUACAGGGGGGGUGAAUAGGCGAAGCCUGAAAAUACUCGUCAGCUCGCUUGGCUCGUGGCCGGCUCUGCUCGGCUUGUUUCAAUUUUGUAAUGAGCUGAGCUAGCAUCCCAGCUCGGUUUGUUAACGAGCCAGCUCGUUAGCUCGAACGAGCUAGCAUUUGUCAGCAAAAUAAAGCCUCCACUCAUGUUAGAUGAACUAAUAAGUGAUGAACUCUGUUAAUUUGGUCUUGAAUUCAUGUGGUAUAUGAAAUUGUGAGUAUUAUUACGCAUUUUAGUGUUAAAUUGGUCUAUAAUUAAUUAACAAUUGAUUAUAUUGUUAUGUAUAUAUGCAUAUUAUUUUUGUUGUUGUGGCUCGCGAGCUAAACGAGCCAGCUCGAUCUCACAAAUGAGCCGAGCCGAGCUGAUUCUCUGGCUCGGUUCCUUAACGAGCCGAGCUGAGCCAGCUCGUUACCUUAACAAGCCAGCUCGAGCUCGACCGAGCCAAACCGAGCUAGCUCGAUAUCCAGCCCUAGUCAAGGUUCAUGGCAUUCUGAGCCAGGUAUAGGACUUUUUCCAUUUAGCUUCUUCCUUUGCCGAUGCUGUCACCACCAUUUAUGAACAAGCAACACUGUUUCGAGUUAUGCAGUUUACCUCUUUUUGUUUUGUUUUUUCAUCUAUAUUUUGUGGCUAAUUAUAUUCAUCUUGUGCGGAUAUGGGGACGGAAAGCCUACUGAUAAUGCAUCAAGAUUCUACAAAUGGUUCGCUGAGGGGGAAGAGAAGGAAGUUUGCUAAAGGAUCUUAAAUAUUGCGUCUUUGGACUUGGGAACACGCAGUAUGAGCAUUUUAAUAAGGUUAAUGGGCCAAAAUCACAUGUUCUUGUGAUUUGGAUAAAAUCUAAUUACCGUUCAAUGUUAUGGUAAUUGAUGAUGGAUUUAUGCUUAUGGAAAUUGUAGGUUGCAAAGAUGGUGCAUGAGCUGCUACAAGAACAGGG
rnacentral:lncRNA from 1 species